rnacentral:rRNA from 1 species
UACGGAGGGUGCGAGCGUUAUCCGGAUUCACUGGGUUUAAAGGGUGCGUAGGCGGGCAGGUAAGUCCGUGGUGAAAUCUCUGAGCUUAACUCAGAAACUGCCAUGGAUACUAUUUGUCUUGAAUGUUGUGGAGGUAAGCGGAAUAUGUCAUGUAGCGGUGAAAUGCUUAGAUAUGACAUAGAACACCAAUUGCGAAGGCAGCUUACUACACAAAUAUUGACGCUGAGGCACGAAAGCGUGGGGAUCAAACAGG